rnacentral:tRNA from 1 species
CGGGAUGUGGCGCAGUCCGGUAGCGUACUUGCAUGGGGUGCAAGGGGUCGUGGGUUCGAAUCCCGCCAUCCCGACGA